AACGAACGCUGGCGGCAUGCCUAACACAUGCAAGUCGAACGAGACCUUCGGGUCUAGUGGCGCACGGGUGCGUAACGCGUGGGAACCUGCCCUUAGGUUCGGAAUAACUCCCCGAAAGGGGUGCUAAUACCGGAUAAUGUCUUCGGACCAAAGAUUUAUCGCCUUUGGAUGGGCCCGCGUUGGACUAGCUAGUUGGUGGGGUAAAAGCCUACCAAGGCGACGAUCCAUAGCUGGUCUGAGAGGAUGAUCAGCCACACUGGGACUGAGACACGGCCCAGACUCCUACGGGAGGCAGCAGUGGGGAAUAUUGGACAAUGGGCGAAAGCCUGAUCCAGCAAUGCCGCGUGAGUGAUGAAGGCCUUAGGGUUGUAAAGCUCUUUUACCCGGGAUGAUAAUGACAGUACCGGGAGAAUAAGCUCCGGCUAACUCCGUG
rnacentral:rRNA from 1 species